rnacentral:lncRNA from 1 species
UUUUCUAAACAAUUUGCAUAGAUCCAACACAAGAUUUUUAUUUCCCCUCAAGUCUCCCGCAGAUUUCAUUCAACAUUGAAUCUAGAGCAGUAUGUCUGGUCCUCUGUAAGGUUGUCUCCCAUUUUGAUAUGGUGUUGACCUAAAAUUCCCUGCAGAGUGGAUGGUGUAGACCUUCGGCAAAUCUUUUCCUUUUCCCCAGCCAGGUUUAAGCCUUUGAGAUGAAUGAUUU